rnacentral:rRNA from 1 species
CACGUAGGGUGCGAGCGUUGUCCGGAAUUAUUGGGCGUAAAGAGCUCGUAGGCGGUGUGUCGCGUCGGCCGUGAAAACCUGGGGCUUAACUCUGGGCUUGCGGUCGAUACGGGCAUCACUGGAGUUCGGCAGGGGAGACUGGAAUUCCUGGUGUAGCGGUGAAAUGCGCAGAUAUCAGGAGGAACACCGGUGGCGGAGGCGGGUCUCUGGGCCGAUACUGACGCUGAGGAGCGAAAGCAUGGGUAGCGAACAGG